rnacentral:rRNA from 1 species
CACGUAGGGCGCAAGCGUUGUCCGGAAUUAUUGGGCGUAAAGAGCUCGUAGGCGGUCUGUUACGUCUGCUGUGAAAACCCGGGGCUUAACCCUGGGCUUGCAGUGGAUACGGGCAGACUAGAGGCAGGUAGGGGAGAAUGGAAUUCCCGGUGUAGCGGUGAAAUGCGCAGAUAUCGGGAGGAACACCGAUGGCGAAGGCAGAUCUCUGGGCCGUAACUGACGCUGAGGAGCGAAAGCAUGGGGAGCGAACAGG